rnacentral:misc_RNA from 1 species
UACUUUUCUGAUGGUUUUGGUAAUCGCGUUGGCGCUGACGAUCGGGCCGGCCGCCAGGGCUGAUUCGGUUCAACUCGAUGAACCAGGCAUGGCCGCGCUGGUCGGAGGAGGCCCCUACUGCGCGCUUGGUUACGGAAUCAGCGCGGGGCUUGGAGUAGUCGGUACGCUGGCUGCUUUAACUGGCGUCGGAGCGCCGGUCGGAAUCGGACUUCGAGUGGCCGGAAUCCUUGUUGGAGUGGGCACAUAUGCUGCUUGCAGCACUUAAUUCAUAUCACUUGCUCGUCAUGG